GACUUUCCUUCUUGGAUACCAGCUGAGUGUGGUUACCUUGAGAACUGUGGCACUAGCCCCAUUAGAGCAUGCUCCACUGGGGAGUUCUGUGCGGUCUAUUUUUAAUGCUAUUUAAUGAAGGAGUGAGUGCCUCACUCAGCACUACAAGGAGCAGGAUGGAAGGCAGAGCUGGGCAUGGUGAUGGAUCCUGGGGAAGGAUGUCUGGAAAGGUACAGACUGGCUACAGGAGAUGG
rnacentral:lncRNA from 1 species